rnacentral:lncRNA from 1 species
AUUGACUUAGGCAUCGGAGGAUCUCCAUCGGAUAAAAAUUCGAUCAGUGAAUUUUUUUUGCAGGUUGCUCUUCAUCGAAGUCAGACGUACUCGGAGAUUGGCCACAAUAGAUUGGCGCGUCAGGUAGAGGGAGAAAAUCCAAUCAUCAUGAUGAAAAUGAGAGCCAAGAAUAUUUCCAUCGGCUCUAUCUGGCAAUCUUUCUAUCAGAAAGAUCUCCCACCUACAUUGCAGAGCCCAGAUCCUUGCAUCCGAUCAUCACCAC